AAGGUUAGAUAAUUUAAGAAGGAUGUAAUUCUUAUCUUGUUACACUUGUAAAAUAUUUAUGAAAAGAUAGUUGCUUGUCUAUGACGUGUGGGUGAAAAUUUUUCAAAGAUUUUAACUCCUGGUUUUGGGGACAAGUUGGAAGUUCUAUAAAAUGUGUAUUGGGAUAUAUUUGUACACAAAUAUCUGCAAUGCACGAGAAAAAUUAAUCUUUUUUUCUCCAAAAAAAAAAAAAAAAAA
rnacentral:misc_RNA from 1 species